GGGGAUUUAGCUCAGUGGUAGAGCGUUUGCCUAGGAAGCGCAAGGCCCUGGGUUCGGUCCCCAGCUCCA
rfam:Rattus norvegicus chromosome 10, whole genome shotgun sequence.